AAUAACCGCCCAGGAAUCAUUCCACAGACUGAACAGUCCUGGAAGACAGAGAAAGUCUCAAUAGGUUUCUCCUGAUUUCGCGCCCGCAGGUCCAGAGUGAAACCGGAAGCGGCAAAAUAGGUUAAUGAGAUUACAUGGACAGCAAAUGAAGACUGAAAUACUGAAUUCUUCUCCCAAGAAACCAAGAAGAAAGUCAUUUCACAUGAAUUUUUGGAGUAAUAUCUGAGACCAAUUUGAUACUUGAAAGAAACAACUGAGCACUGAAUUGCGUCUCCUGAGCUAUGAAAGAGCAACCAGCCCAGAGAAGCUCAUGUAGAGCAGGUGUCCUCGAGCUCCUCAUUCCCACAGAAUGCAGAACGGCAUCCAGAUCCUCUUAUCUGGAGGAGAAAUCCAGCUGCACCUCGGGAAUAUUUGACAGGCUCAGAGGAGCCUGUGAUCAUGUGACUCUCUGAGCGCUCGGGCUCUGAAAUAACAAAGCAUGGGUUAAACAAAGACGAGUGCUAGCAGAUGUGUGGGAGCAGCAGGCCCCGGAUCAGUCAACAGACACGUAAAGCCGCCCCAUUCACUUCUCGAGGUAAAACAUUUGUCAUCCGCAUCCACUCAGAGCCAAGCUUUUGGCAAGCGUCUUUAUCGUUUCUUACCACGCUGCUGCCACACAAAGAAGCAUCAUGUAGCUGGCAGGCCUGUAUAAAAGGAAGAAUCACAAAUGAGAUCUUUUUCUCCUAAACAAAUGUAUUACAUGGUGAUCAGAUGAGGACUUUUGCCUAAAGGAUUUAUAUUUUAGCAGAAAGUUGAUUCUGACUGCAAAUGAAGGUAAUUGAACAUGUUUUCCUCUAAGGGUCACAGCAAAAAAAAGUUAGAUAAAUGAAGUCUGUUGAAUGAUGCAAAGACCGAUGCUGUUUGAAAUCAUCCAUGCUGUUAACAUAGGGUGCACAUGAUCAAAUUAACAUAAUAAAUAAGCUGUCCAUUGAUGGUUUGUUAGGAUAGGACAAUAUUUGGCCGAGAUACAACUAUUUGAACAAUGCCUUUAAAGUUGUCCAAAUGAAAUCCUGAGCCAUGCAUAUUAAUCAAAAACUAAGUUUUGAUAUAUUUACGAGAAGGAAAUUUACAACAACAAAAAAAGUCUUCAUGGAACAUAUCCUAAUGAUUUUUGGCAUAAAAGAAAAAAUUAUAAUUUUGAUAAUUUUGAUCAUUUAUCGAAAAUACAAGUCAUCUGAUCUGUCACAUACUCAGAUGUUCAUCUGAUGUUUACAAGAAAAAUCAUAGGUUAUGUUUGGGAUAGGAUGCACAGUAUAUGUAUAUUUUGCAUAUGUUGCGCUAUGACUUUUUGAAAUAGCAUGUACAACAGUGCUGUAUGUAGUAUACAGUGAUAAUGUUUCAAACUAAAUUAUUAUCAUAUACUCAACAUGCUGCAUGUUGUUAUUGAGUGAGCAGUGUCUCAUCUCAGAAAUUGUAUUUAUUAAUUUACUUUUCAUUUACUUGUUAUUUUAUUUAUUCCUUCCAUUUGUAUUCCAAUUUUGGGAGAAAAUAAAUUGUGUUAGUUGCCUUGCAUUCCAGCUA